rnacentral:lncRNA from 1 species
UAAAGAGACUAACUAUAUAUAUAAAACAAGAAUUAAAGGGACGAAGAAGAAGUCAUACACUUUUACACUACGCGGCUUUUACUUUACUAAUGGAGGCACGCCUCUCACUUUCCAGUUUACUAUAUGCGUUAUAUAAGAACCAAACUACAAAGUGGGAUUAGACAACAAUAAAGUUAGAUACCUUCUCCCGUUCUCCGGUCUCAUAUUCACACCAACCUAAAAAUUACUUAUAUAAGAAAAAAUUAAUCAAGCCCUCUCUUUAGUAAUCAAGAGAACGAAAAAAAAA